UAGGGUGACACUGGUGGCCAUGGGGUGGCAGUGGGAUGGCAGUGGUGGCCAUGGGGUGGCAUUGGUGGCGAUGGGGUGGCAAUAGGGUGACACUGAUGGCCAUGGGGUGGCAAUGGGGUGGCACUGAUGGCUGUGGGGUGGCAUUGGUGGCCAUGGGGUGGCAAUAGGGUGACACUGAUGGCCAUGGGGUGGCCAUAGGGUGGCCAUGGGGUGGCAUUGGUGGGCAUGGGGUGGCACUGGUGGCCAUAGGGUGGCCAUGGGGUGGCAAUAGGGUGACAUUGAUGGCCAUGGGGUGGCAGUAGGGUGACACUGAUGGCCAUGGGGUGGCAAUAGGGUGACUCCGGUGGCCAUGGGGUGGCAUUGGUGACCAUGGGGUGGCAAUAGGGUGACACUGAUGGCCAUGGGGUGGCAGUGGGUGACACUGAUGGCUGUGGGGUGGCAAUAGGGUGACACUGGUGGCCAUGGGGUGGCAAUAGGGUGGCACUGAUGGCAAUGGGGUGGCAAUAGGGUGACACUGAUGGCCAUGGGGUGGCAUUGGUGGCCAUGGGGUGGCAAUAGGGUGGCACUGAUGGCAAUGGGGAGGCCAUGGGUGGCCAUGGAGUGGCAAUAGGGUGGCACUGGUGGCCAUGGGGUGGCAAUGGUGGCCAUGGGGUGGCUAUAGGGUGACACUGGUGGCUAUGGGGUGGCCAUGGGGUGGCAGUGGGUGACACUGGUGGCCAUGGGGUGGCAUUGGUGACCAUGGGGUGACCCUGGUGGCCAUGGGGUGGCCAUAGGGUGACACUGAUGGCAAUGGGGUGGCAUUGGUGACCAUGGGGUGGCUAUAGGGUGGCACUGAUGGCAAUGGGGUGGCAAUAGGGUGGCACCGAUGGCCAUGGGGUGGCACUGGGAUGGCAGUGGUGGCCAUGGGGUGGCAAUAGGGUGACACUGAUGGCCAUGGGGUGGCAUUGGUGGCCAUGGGGUGGCCAUGGGGUAGCAAUGGGUGACAUUGGUGGCUGUGGGGUGGCAAUAGGGUGACACUGAUGGUUGUGGGGUGGCAAUAGGGUGACACUGAUGGCUAUGGGGUGGCAAUAGGGUGGCACUGAUGGCCAUGGGGUGGCAAUAGAGUGACUCCGGUGGCCAUGGGGUGGCAUUGGUGGGCAUGGGGUGGCAAUAGGGUGACACUGGUGGCCAUGGGGUGACAGUAGGGUGACACUGAUGGCUGUGGGGUGGCAAUAGGGUGGCACUGAUGGCCAUGGGGUGGCACUGGGAUGGCAGUGGUGGCCAUGGGGUGGCAGUAGGGUGACACUGAUGGCUGUGGGGUGGCAAUAGGGUGGCACUGAUGGCCAUGGGGUGGCACUGGGAUGGCAGUGGAGGCCAUGGGGUGGCAAUAGGGUAACCCUGGUGGCCAUGGGGUGACACUGGGAUGGCAGUGGUGGCCAUGGGGUGGCAAUAGGGUGACACUGAUGGCAAUGGGGAGGCCAUGGGUGGCCAUGGAGUGGCAAUAGGGUGGCACUGGUGGCCAUGGGGUGGCAAUGGUGGCCAUGGGGUGGCUAUAGGGUGACACUGGUGGCUAUGGGGUGGCCAUGGGGUGGCAGUGGGUGACACUGGUGGCCAUGGGGUGGCAUUGGUGACCAUGGG
rnacentral:lncRNA from 1 species